rnacentral:rRNA from 1 species
UGGGUGAUCUGCCCUGCACUUUGGGAUAAGCCUGGGAAACUGGGUCUAAUACCGGAUAUACCCUGCUGGUCGCAUGGCCUGGUGGGGGAAAGCUUUUGCGGUGUGGGAUGGGCCCGCGGCCUAUCAGCUUGUUGGUGGGGGUGAUGGCCCACCAAGGCGACGACGGGUAGCCGACCUGAGAGGGUGAUCGGCCACAUUGGAACUGAGACACGGUCCAGGCUCCGUACGGGAGCA